rnacentral:rRNA from 1 species
UGUAGACGCGAAACCAAGUGAUCUACCCAUGGUCAGGUUGAAGGUUGGGUAACACCAAUUGGAGGACCGAACCGGUAAACGUUGAAAAGUUUUCGGAUGAACUGUGGGUAGGGGUGAAAGGCUAAUCAAACUUGGAGAUAGCUCGUACUCCCCGAAAUGCAUUUAGGUGCAGCCUUUGUUAUUACUAGUAUGAGGUAGAGCGACUGAUUGGAUGCGAGGGCUUCGCCGCCUAUCAAGUCCAGAUAAACUCCGAAUGCGUAUUAGUUUAGACAAGGAGUGAGGGCAUGGGUGCUAAGGUCCAUGUCCGAGAGGAGAAGAAUCCAGACCAUCAGCUAAGGUCCCCAAAUAACAGUUAAGUUGGAUUAACGAAGUCUAACCGCAGAGACAGCUAGGAUGUUGGCUUGGAAGCAGCCAUUCAUUUAAAGAGUGCGUAACAGCUCACUAGUCGAGCGGUUUGGCGUGGAUAAUACUCGGGCAUAAACUGUUUACCGAAGCUAUGGACGUCGUAAGACGUGGUAGGGGAGCAUUCUAUAUGCGUAGAAGGUAAGGGAUAACCCUUGCUGGAGCGUAUAGAAACGCAAAUGUAGGUAUAAGUAACGAUAAUGAAGGUGAGAAACUUUCACGCCGAAAGACUAAGGAUUCCUGAUCAACGCUAAUCGGAUCAGGGUAAGUCGGGCCCUAAGGUUAAGCCGAACGGCGAUACCGAUGGAAGAAAGGGUUAAUAUUCCCUUACUACUUUAUGUUAGUGAUGUGGAGACGGAGAAGUGACAGUCCUGCCAUCUGACGGAAUAGAUGGUUAAAGGGUGUAGACGCUGAUUGAGGUAGGCAAAUCCGCCUUAAGAGUCGAACCUGACAGUAUACGGAGUGCUUGCACGAAGUAAUAUGGAUGUAAACAGGCUCCCUAGAAAAUCCGCUAAACGUUAAAACAUGGAGUACCCGUACCGUAAACGGACACACGUAGUUGGGUUGAGUAUACUAAGGCGCUCGAGUGAUUCACGGUUAAGGAACUAGGCAAAAUAGUCCUGUAACUUCGGGAGAAAGGACGCCCGUCAGCGAUGGAGGCCGCAGAGAAUAGGCCCAGGCGACUGUUUAGCAAAACACAGGUCUCUGCUAAAUCGAAAGAUGACGUAUAGGGGCUGACACCUGCCCGGUGCCGGAAGGUUAAGAGGAGGAGUGAGAGCUCUGAAUUGAAGCCCCGGUAAACGGCGGCCGUAACAAUAACGGUCCUAAGGUAGCGAAAUUCCUUGUCAGGUAAGUUCUGACCCGCACGAAUGGUGUAACGAUCUGGGCACUGUCUCAACAACCCGCCCGGCGAAAUUGUAGUACCGGUGAAGAUGCCGGUUACCCGCGACUAGACGGAAAGACCCCAUGGAGCUUUACUGUAGCUUAAUGUUGGAUUUUGGUAUGUAAUGUACAGGAUAGGUGGGAGACGAGGAACCAUAGGCGUCAGCUUAUGGGGAGUCAACCUUGGGAUACCACUCUUUAUGUGCUGAAAUUCUAACCUGCGACCAUGAAUCUGGUCGGGGGACAUCGUUAGGUGGGCAGUUUGACUGGGGCGGUCGCCUCCAAAAGAGUAACGGAGGCGCUCAAAGGUUCGCUCAGCAUGG